rnacentral:rRNA from 1 species
UACGGAGGGUGCAAGCGUUGUUCGGAUUUAUUGGGCGUAAAGCGCGUGUAGGCGGUUUCCUAAGUCUGAUGUGAAAGCCCUGGGCUCAACCCAGGAAGUGCAUUGGAUACUGGGAGACUUGAAUACGGGAGAGGGUAGUGGAAUUCCUAGUGUAGGAGUGAAAUCCGUAGAUAUUAGGAGGAACACCGGUGGCGAAGGCGGCUACCUGGACCGAUAUUGACGCUGAGACGCGAAGCGUGGGGAGCAAACGGG